rnacentral:rRNA from 1 species
UGCCCUAGUAACGGCGAGUGAAGCGGCAACAGCUCAAAUUUGAAAUCUGGCUCUUUCAGAGUCCGAGUUGUAAUUUGCAGAGGGCGCUUUGGCUUUGGCAGCGGUCCAAGUUCCUUGGAACAGGACGUCACAGAGGGUGAGAAUCCCGUACGUGGUCGCUAGCUAUUGCCGUGUAAAGCCCCUUCGACGAGUCGAGUUGUUUGGGAAUGCAGCUCUAAAUGGGAGGUAAAUUUCUUCUAAAGCUAAAUAUUGGCCAGAGACCGAUAGCGCACAAGUAGAGUGAUCGAAAGAUGAAAAGCACUUUGGAAAGAGAGUCAAACAGCACGUGAAAUUGUUGAAAGGGAAGCGCUUGCAGCCAGACUUGCUUGCAGUUGCUCAUCCGGGCUUUUGCCCGGUGCACUCUUCUGCAGGCAGGCCAGCAUCAGUUUGGGCGGUGGGAUAAAGGUCUCUGUCAUGUACCUCUCUUCGGGGAGGCCUUAUAGGGGAGGCGACAUACCACCAGCCUAGACUGAGGUCCGCGCAUCUGCUAGGAUGCUGGCGUAAUGGCUGUAAGCGGCCCGUCUUGAAACACGGACCAAGGAGUCUAACAUCUAUGCGAGUGUUUGGGUGUCAAGCCCGAGCGCGUAAUGAAAGUGAACGGAGGUGGGAACCCGCAAGGGUGCACCAUCGACCGAUCCUGAAGUUUACGGAAGGAUUUGAGUAAGAGCAUGGCUGUUGGGACCCGAAAGAUGGUGAACUAUGCUUGAAUAGGGUGAAGCCAGAGGAAACUCUGGUGGAGGCUCGCAGCGGUUCUGACGUGCAAAUCGAUCGUCAAAUUUGGGCAUAGGGGCGAAAGACUAAUCGAACUAUCUAGUAGCUGGUUCCUGCCGAAUUCCCCCGCAAGAAAAAAGAAAAAGAGCGCCCUCUCGAUAUGAGGAGAAU